CAUUUUUGCAUGCAUUAAUGGUUUUACUUUUUUCAAAAAAAGAUUUUGGUUCAAAGAAAUCAUUAAAAAACAAAUAUUUUUCCUCUCAAAUGUACGCUACAAAUUUGCGAAAGGUUCAUUGCUCUUAAUUAGAGUUUUCGUUUUACUAAAAUUAAGCUCAUU